GUUGAUUCCAGACCCUCAUUGUUGUUUAUUUUUUAGAAAUGCUAUGCCGUGAUAAAAUUUCCUGAGGAUAACACUGUUGACGUUGUGCCUUCUACAUGGCUCGAAAUAACAAGCAAGGCUGUAUAUUGCUAUUGGCCGCGUAAAAACUUAACUGCCAAGGUGAAGCGAAGAGAUGCACCUGAUACUACACUCUGGUCGAAGCAUGUUGCGUCCAUUCUAGUUUAUGCAGACAGCUACGAAGAAGCCAGGUGCAAAGCAAAUCAGGCAACCAUAACUUCAAACUUGGAGAGUGAGGAUGAAGAUUCGAUUCGUAGAAAAAUAAGACCCCC